UAGGGCGGCAGGCCCCGCUGGCUGUUUCCUAGCAACGGGUAGGGUUUCAGCCAGUGGGCGGGGCUGAUGGCAGGCACUGAAGUGAGUUUUCUGCUGCCGCAGCUUGAGGCGUGAGGAAUUUUAAGUUCUAAAAUGUUUGCCAGUGAGGACCUUGUAAUUCGACUGGUCUGGCAAUUGUGAGACGAGCUCAUCAUACUUUAAAAGUCUUGAUCCUUUCUCCCCGAGAGUGAUUUAUUGGCCAUUUUAACUCUUAGCUCGGAGAGGGGAGUGUGCUGUUUGCCUUUCUGAAUGACCUUUAGCUCCAGAUUUCUCCAAGCUGUGUGGAAUUCCAACCAGCGCCCCUGGAGUGGUCACCUAAGAGAGACUUUUAAAGAGACUAAAUUAAUGCUGCAAACAAGCAAGAGUGUUUUCAGAUUCUUCAUGCUGAAAGUAACUUUGUAAAGUCUGUGCUAAUUCUUCCAAAAUUGAAAUGUAACCAAACCUGUUACUUUUAUGUAUCCCAUGUGUUUAUAUGAUUUUUCAACUAACUAGAUUUAAGAAUUUGAGCUGUAACAACCCAGAAAUGCCUUAAUUAAUUCCUGUUUGUACUCUAUAAUGUAUAUGGAAAUUGUUCCUUGUAAUUGCAUUCGAGAAUAACAAAUAGCAGAUUUCACAGGCCUAUUUUGAUUUGAUUUUAUAAACAAGAGUAAAGAGAUAUUGCUAACCGCUCUGUACCGCUGCCCUUAGGGUCUGGGGGCGGGAGACGACCUCUGGAGUGCAAGACUCCCUGGUGGCAGGCACUGCCUUGGGUUUCUCUCCCUGCCCCCCCAGAGCUUGGUCAGAAGUCGGCAGCGGGUGGGACUCCCCCCCCAGCUUUGACAAAGCCCUGAGUCCCCGUAUAUUCUGGGAGAAGCGCUUUCUGACUUCGAUCUCCUUAGGCCUGAAUGCCUACUGGGGAGAGGUGCAACUCCCGUGCCUUGCUAGAGUUAGGAAAAAUUUGGCGUCACAAAGGCUUGCUAAUGAACCUGUGAAGUCUGCUAAGAGUGCUUUCAUUCAUAUGAUAAGAGUCCGAGGGGUCCUAGUGUGUGAGAAGCUUAGAUAGAGCCGCUGGGACGGCGGAUAGGCUGCCUCUGGAUUGGGAGCAGGCUUAGGACCUCGUUUGCCUCUUCCCUCUGGUGCCCCUCGGUUGUCCCUGCUCCCCUGCACACUGGCUCGGCCACUGGGGCAUGCUCUGAGCUAAUUCCUGUCAUCUGUCUAUGUAGGGGAGCUGACCUGGGUGUCCUGGCUUCCCAUGACUCUGGCAUGGACUGCCCUGGUUGUGGAUAGGUUCGGGGUUCCCUCCGGGGGCCGGCCGGCUCCGAAGAACAUGACCUGACCAGAAUGACAGCGGUCCAGUAAUGCCAGCCUCUGGACACCAAGCCUGCGAUGUCCGGGUGACAGCCAACUGACCAGGACCCUGUGAGGUCUUUCCCCUUACAGGAAAGACUCCCUCCGUGCUGCUCCCCUUCAGGGCACCCCAACCCAAGGGUAAAUAAGACAGCGUCCAUUUCCAGCUUGGAAGAAGUUACAAGAAGAUGAGACCUCCGUCCCUUUUCCUUUAUAUAAUUAUGAAGUAGGUAUAAAUCUAAAAAGAAAAAUAUUGAUACAGAGUGCGUCCACGGGGAGCCCCAGAAAAGAUUUAGAAUGGGAUCCAAGGUUCGGGGUAUCCAAGAGAUAUUGAGGUAUACUCACCACUCCCCGGGAGAGGGGGACGAAUAGAGCGGGGCCAGUGAGAGAUAUUGUACAUAACAACAGGUUGCAGCUGACCUCUAAAGUAAUUAUUUGACAUAUAGCUUUUAGCUAGUUUCAUAGAUAUAUUAAAUAGUAUAGCCAGACUUAGAGCUAAGGAAAUAAAGUCACUUACCCAGGAUGUAGCUAAGAGCAGAGCCCCUAAGGGGGAAGGCCUGUGUCAGAGCUUGGAAAAGAUCAACUCCAGGCCAUGAGGGGAUAAACUACCCAGGUGAAAGAGGGCACCGCAUAGUUUAAGGCAGAGUGCCGACCCCUGCAGCUUUGGUGAAAGAGGCCCAUGUGGCUUUGGGGGUUCCCCUUUUGGCUGUGUAGCCUAGAAGGCAAGAAAGACUUUGACUAGAACUUAGUACAAAAAAGGACCUCUUGCCAGUGGACUGUGAGGGAGUGCCACAUAACUUUAGAUUGGCUAAAAGAUCCUGCCUGAUGCAGCUAAUAGUAACAGCAGCCUGAGACACAGAUGUGUGCUCUUUCCUGGUUUGCAGUGCCCGGAGUUAAAACGGUGCAAGUAGGGAACAAAGACAUGAAAGUAUUUUGAGUUAAAAAAAGGGAAGAAAAACUUAGUUUCUGACUGCUCUUUUGCAAUAAUAGAACUAGAAUUAUAAGUAAUAACAAGAGAAAAGGAAAAAGAAACCUCAUUAAUACUCUAAAUCUAAUAAAAGGGGGGGACUUGUUUAUUCUUACAAAAAUAUAUAUAAUGCUUAAACAAGCAACCAGUGUUGUUUAGCAUAAAAGGGGGAAUGAUAUGAGAAACUUUGAAAAACCUCUGUUUAACCUUUAUUUGCCCAGGCCCCAGGCGCCCUGGGGAGAAUGAUGGGGCUGUCUAGGAUAAGUAAACAACAGUGCAUUAGCUAGGACUGAGAUUAACACCCCUGCUUCUGUGUCCUUCGAGCCCUGGAACUGAAUAAUAGGAGCCUUUGAACCCUGCCCCGUAAAUAGAACUAAUUAUCGCAUUCUGCUUCUGCCCCGUAGACACCUGUGUCCUUGAGCCCUGGCUCUGCCCCUAGACAGGACUAACUUCCGCAUUCCGCUUCUGUAUCCCGCCUUGCCACGUAGACAAGAAGACCCUAAUCUAUAAAAACCCCAGGAAUCCUUUGUUCAUUGCUCAGAAUUUGGAAAUGCUUCCUCUGGGCCCAUGCAUGUAAAAUAAACCUCGUACUCCAAAAUC